rnacentral:rRNA from 1 species
AGAGUUUGAUCAUGGCUCAGGACGAACGCUGGCGGCGUGCUUCAUACAUGCAAGUCGAACGAGAAGCUCACUUCGGUGAGUGGAAAGUGGCGGACGGGUGAGUAAUGCGUAGAGAGUCUGCCCUAGAGUGGGGGAUAGCAGUUGGAAACGACUAUUAAUACCCCAUAUGCGCGUAGCUGAGAUGCUAUUCGUGAAAACUCCGGUGCUCUGGGAUGAGUCUGCAUCUGAUUAGCUAGUAGGCGGUGUAAUGGACCACCUAGGCGACGAUCAGUAGCUGGUUUGAGAGGAUGAUCAGCCACAAUGGGACUGAGACACGGCCCAUACUCCUACGGGAGGCAGCAGUAGGGAAUUUUGCGCAAUGGGGGAAACCCUGACGCAGCAACGCCGCGUGAAUGAAGAAGCCCUUCGGGGUGUAAAGUUCUGUCAGUGGGGACGAAACUUGACGGUACCCACAGAGGAAGCAUCGGCUAACUCCGUGCCAGCCGCAGC